rnacentral:rRNA from 1 species
GACGAACGCUGGCGGCGUGCUUAACACAUGCAAGUCGAACGGAAAGGCCCUGCUUUUGUGGGGUGCUCGAGUGGCGAACGGGUGAGUAACACGUGAGUAACCUGCCCUUGACUUUGGGAUAACUUCAGGAAACUGGGGCUAAUACCGGAUAGGAGCUCCUGCUGCAUGGUGGGGGUUGGAAAGUUUCGGCGGUUGGGGAUGGACUCGCGGCUUAUCCGCUUGUUGGUGGGGUAGUGGCUUACCAAGGCUUUGAAGGGUAGCCGGCCUGAGAGGGUGACCGGCCACAUGGGGACUGAGAGACGGCCCAGACUCCUACGGGAGGCAGCAGUGGGGAAUAUUGCACAAUGGGCGGAAGCCUGAUGCAGCAACGCCGCGUGCGGGAUGACGGCCUUCGGGUUGUAAACCGCUUUCGCCUGUGACGAAGCGUGAGUGACGGUAAUGGGUAAAGAAGCACCGGCUAACUACGUG